rnacentral:rRNA from 1 species
AUCGUAGGGGAACCUGCGGAAGAACAAUUC